ACAACCUGUCAAAAGACAAACAAAAGUGCCAUGUGAAUCAGUCUUGCAAACAGUAUCCAUCCAUCACUCACUGGGCACCUGGAAAAAUGACCCAAGAAGAGGCUUCAGGACAUAGUCCAAAACAACACGAGAAACAAUGAGACACAGGAACCAAAAAAGUAUCUGAAGAAACAUCUGAUGUGCACACAAGCUCCAAAAAAGCCUCUAUAUUUCUACAGAAUUUCUGUUGUCUCCUGGCCAAUUUCUUGUGUUGUCAGAAAGUUAUACAACAUAAGCUUGCAAAUAAAAAUCAAGAGAGAUCGAGUUGCAUGGAUUCACAUACUUCAUACAAAGUGAUUUACUGAAGCACCCUUAGUAAAACACCAGAAACAACCUAAAUGACCAUCAAUAGCAGAUGGCACAGCGUUAUAAUGGAAUAUCAGGCAGGCCUUGCAAACAAGAGACACACAGGAGCAAUACCAGGAGUAAAGCAAGCUGAGAGCCGGAACAAUAUGAGAAAAGAGUCUACCACGUGCCGGAGGACAACUUCAAUAAAAAACACCAGGUCAGCGGAUAAGACCAUGUCACUCACAGGUUUGUGACUUGAGGCCUGAGCACCAAUGAUCCACUCCACAUCAGUGGAAAAUGUUGGAAAGUAAGGACGCUGUGGACAUUUUCUGAAGUUGGAGAAAUGGAAUGGUGGAGAAGCCAGUAUUGGGGUACCAUGAGUGGAGCAGAGUUGACUACAAAUCUCAAUAAAGCUUUUCAACUGU